GGGUCCUAAGUCGAGGCCGACAGGCGUAGACGAUGGAUAACAGGUUGAUAUUCCUGUACCACCAUUUAUCGUUUUAAGCGAUGGGGGGACACAGUAGGAUAGGCGAAGCGUGCUGUUGGAGUGCACGUCUAAGCAGUGAGACUGAAUGGUAGGCAAAUCCGCCAUUCUCAAGGUUGAGCUGUGAUGGGGAGAGGAAACAUGUUUUCCUCGAGUCGUUGAUUUCACACUGUCGAGAAAAGCCU
rnacentral:rRNA from 1 species